AUAGCAUUAUACAGCGAAACUGCGAAUGGCUCAUUAUAUAAGUUAUCGUUUAUUUGAUAGUACCUUACUACAUGGAUAACCCGUGGUAAUUCUAGAGCUAAUACAUGCUAAAAAUCCCGACUUCGGAAGGGAUGUAUUUAUUAGAUUAAAAACCAAUGCCCUCUGGGCUCCUUGGUGAUUCAUGAUAACUUCUCGAAUCGCAUGGCCUUGUGCCGGCGAUGGUUCAUUCAAAUUUCUUCCCUAUCAACUUUCGAUGUUUGGGUAUUGGCCAAACAUGGUCGCAACGGGUAACGGAGGGUUAGGGCUCGACCCCGGAGAAGGAGCCUGAGAAACGGCUACUACAUCCAAGGAAGGCAGCAGGCGCGCAAAUUACCCAAUCCCGACACGGGGAGGUAGUGACAAUAAAUACUGAUACAGGGCUCUUUCGGGUCUUGUAAUUGGAAUGAGUACAAUUUAAAUCCCUUAACGAGGAACAAUUGGAGGGCAAGUCUGGUGCCAGCAGCCGCGGUAAUUCCAGCUCCAAUAGCGUAUAUUAAAGUUGUUGUGGUUAAAAAGCUCGUAGUUGAACCUUGGGCCUGGCUGUCCGGUCCGCCUCACCGCGUGUACUGGUUCGGCCGGGCCUUUCCCUCUGUGGAACCUCAUGCCCUUCACUGGGCGUGACGGGGAAACAGGACUUUUACUGUGAAAAAAUUAGAGUGCUCCAGGCAGGCCUAUGCUCGAAUACAUUAGCAUGGAAUAAUGAAAUAGGACGUGCGGUUCUAUUUUGUUGGUUUCUAGGACCGCCGUAAUGAUUAAUAGGGACAGUCGGGGGCAUCAGUAUUCAAUUGUCAGAGGUGAAAUUCUUGGAUUUAUUGAAGACUAACUACUGCGAAAGCAUUUGCCAAGGAUGUUUUCAUUAAUCAGGAACGAAAGUUAGGGGAUCGAAGACGAUCAGAUACCGUCGUAGUCUUAACCAUAAACUAUGCCGACUAGGGAUCGGACGAUGUAAAUAAUUGACUCGUUCGGCACCUUACGAGAAAUCAAAGUGUUUGGGCUCCA
rnacentral:rRNA from 1 species